UCGAUUAUUCAUUUCAAUCGUAACUUCCAACAUAUUCGUAAAGUCUCCUCGAAAAACAAUUAUUCGCCACAGUCAUUCGUCACAACGCUACUGUCAUCGUUCGAGAUAUUUUUAUUUCACUGCACUCACUCCACUCGUAGAAUCUUCUUUUCCACCUCAAAUGAAACGAUAAUCUCGGACUAUCUAAAACUUCCGCGAACAUAAUUCUCAAAAAAGUUACCGGAACAUGAUAUUCGUUUUAUAUUCGCGCGAUAACUGUUGCACUGUGAAUAUGCACGAGGAAAACGCUAAUCGCAAGCGAGAUGAACUUUAGCAAGGAGAUGCGUGUUCACGUUUGGAUGAUCGUAAUUGUCGGUCGCUCGAUUUCGAAACGAAAGUAGAUCAAUCUGCAUUAUGACUUACGAGUUACGAGGCACUGUCGACGCGAGCACGAGGACAAACUAAGAGGUGGCUCGAAGCGAAACUGUCGAGAAUUUGUCAGCGAGAGUGAGAAGGAAAGAAAUCGAUUGUCUUGCGAUAUCUUCGCGCGCUUUAAAUGCGAGGCACCAGGCCCGUAUCUGCCGAUCGAAGCGCCCUGGUCUUUCCAAACAUUCGAUUCUAAUUUUCUAAUAUUACUUUUUUUCUUAUAUUUAUUUAUCUUUAUAUGUAUGCUUAUUGUUUUAUUAUUUUAUAAUGUUUUUGGUAUAAUUAAUUUUUAAACUGUUAUCGUAAUUAUUAUCAAGUGUUAAUAAUUAACGAUGUUUAUGUACAAUUAAUAGAAUUUUGUCUCAAUAGGAUUUUGAUGAAUUCCAGAAUUGAAACAAAAUACGAUGUAUAUUUUUAUACAUAUUAAAUUGAAAUUAUCAUAGUUAAACAUCUUCCUACCAUUAACGUCGUCGAUUAUCUAUUCAUGGUCACCUAUCGAUUUUUAAAUAUCUUUAGAACACGCCAAUGAUACAAAUUUCCCCGUAAAAUUGUAUUUUUACGUUUCGUGUCACGAUAGAAUAAAAGAAUCAAGAAUUUUACAAAUACUUCUGUUCCUAUCCUUUCGAUUAUCCUCUGCACUAUGUCACCAACAAUACUCUCAAUUUAUUACUUUCCAUUUCACCAUUUGUAUCUAAUUUGCAUUUUACUAUUCCAAUUUUUCAAAAUUCUGUAUAAAAAUUUAUAUCAAAGAAGUCCGUUUUAACGAUAUCGUAUGUCAAAUAAUCUUUCAAUAAAAUAUUUAAUAAAAUUAUUUUUUAUAUUUAAUAAAAGCAUUAUUUAAUAUAAGCAAUAUUUAAUAAAAAGCAGGCCGUGAAUUGGUGUCCAAAACAAGGAACAUCUUUAAUUACAUUUUCGCGAGUAAAGAGCGCAGUUUUUCGUACGCGAAUCAACGAGCCAAGGUAGUUGGUUCGCCGCGUGUUGCACAAAACCGAUUCUUUUUUCGUAACCAGUCACACGAUAUCUCGUGUGUGUGCAAAUCAGAUUUGAUCGUGGUCGACGAUAGUUUGGCAAACAUAGUUUGGCGUACGAGCGCUUGUUCAGUUCGUAUUACUCGAGGAAAACGAAUUCUACGUUUUCCUUCUCUUGCAGUCUGUUCGAAUCAGAGACGUGAGAAACGUUGUAUACCAUCUGGACAGAAAUUUGAAAAACUGAAAAUGUCGAUGUCUGAAGGAUCGAGAAAUUUAGAAAAUUUUGGUGAUUUGGAAAUAUAGAAAUUCGAAAGUUUCUUUCUUUAAAUCCGCAAGAGAUUCACAAUGGAAAAUUUGUCCUCACCGUUACCGCUUGCUUACGUAAACUCGAAAUGACCACGUGGAAGGAACUGCGCCGCGACCAAAGGGACCAAGUAAUAAUAAAAAGUCAUGCAAGCAAUGCAGCAAGCAUCAAGCAAUGCAAUGUGUCACUUCGAGAAACGUUACAAGUCACGGAUUGUGAGUAUUUUCAAGAAAAGGUCCCUUUUUAUGAAAUAUUCAUGCGUGGAUAUAAAUAAGCGGAGGGACGAUUUAUUCAUACGAAACGUUACGUUCAUUAUACAAGCUAUACAUCACGAAUUAUCGUCGUGUUACUAUUUUAUUGCACGUCAUCGUACACGCUUAUCAUUGGCGCCUUAUUCUACAUGUGUAUGUAUACACGUACGCUACCGUUCAAAAGAUCAGUUAGACUUAAAUACGUAUGUCUAUACGAUAUAUGUGAAGGAAUAUUGAUAAAAAAUAGAUUUUCUUAUUGGAAAAGAUUAUUACGAGCAUUCGUAGCUAUUUUGGAAGUCGAAAUUGAUAAAUUGAUAUUACGAUCGUCCUCUACACUUGAAAGUAAUAUUAUUUUAAUUUGAAAUAAAUUUUAAAUAGUGGAAACAAUUGUAGCAAUUAAUUAAAAUUAUAAUAGGAAAUAAAUUUAAUUUUUGAAUAGUAUAAUAGUGUACAUGUGUACAUUGCCUACAUGCAUUAGACACGCGUUAUAUACGUAGAGCGUGUUGAAGCAGCGUUUGAAUAAUAAUAUUUUAAUGAAAGGAAAUUGUGUCACACGAUCAACGUCACAACAGCUAACCGUGUCUUCCAUUUUUCAUUGUACUAGUAAUUUGGAGCGUUCCGCGUGAUACAGUGGAUAAAUUGGUGUCACUUAAUGGGCAAAUCAAUAGUUGUUAACGAUUGGCGAGAUCGUUCCCUUCCUUAACGGUAUUUCUCGUGGAAUCUUUGGAGAAAAGAAGCUACUAUGAACUCGACGUGCAAUUUCUAAAGAGAACCGCGUGUUAUCGAAUGAAGAGUACAAUGGUGCCCCAUAGUGAUGGGGAGGAAGCGAACGAGGCAGCGCGACCUAUAUUUCGUUUGCACGCGAAACGAUAAAUCAAAAGUUUCGCCUUCGAGAUGAUCACGUUUUUCUUUAACUCGCUUAUAAAUAAGGUGUCUGUACCAAGAUAAGAAGGAAGAAACUUCUUUACUAGCAAAAUACAAAUAAUAAAACUUCAUAAAUAGUUUGAGCAACUGUUACAAGAAAUUUCGCUGUCCUAAUGUCUUCCUGUAAUAAGAAUGCUUAAUUGAUUUGAUUAAUGAACGAAGAUUUAGUAAGACGGUAAAACGAAGAUGUCUUAAAAUGGGAUCAAAUAAGUUACAAAGAAAAUGUUCGUAAAAAGAACAUCGCAAAUGAAGCACUCUUUCGAUAAAGAAUGAUUUUGAAUAUUACUAUGAAGAUAAAGUAGGAAACGGAGAAGUGUUGAUAAAGAAGAUUUCUAUAGUGAGAUGUACCGCUGGAGCAUUUAAAAACCUUUCUUUGUAAUAAUUUGUAAUAAUUGAAAAAAAAAAUAAUAUUAACAGAGAACUCUUUAAGUUAAUAAAUUUAAUAGUAGAUCAAGCAAAACAAACAGCUUCUGUCUGCCUGGGCUGAAAAAAUUCCUAGAUUAACGACUGUUGACCAUCGUCAAUAUUGUUAUACAAGACAAACAGUAGCAUUAUAGACGGUAAUCCAUAUAGAUCGAAGAAAACGGUGUUAACACAGAAUAAAGACUUUAUGACGAUAGUCUAAUAAAAAUCCCUAAAUCAACAUUCAAUAAACGAUCUGCACAUAACAAACAACAUCAAUAUCAAAACAACCUUAAUCCACUUUAUUAUCGAAGCAACACGUCAGCUUAGCAAACACACGGUAAUCUCGCGUCACCUACCAAAGCUCCCUACAUUAACUCCCUACUAAACUUCUCGUUGACCAAAUCGAUUACGAAAGCGUGCUGGAAAAAAGAUCUUUCGAAAAUCCACUUUCAACUUCCAACUCCCUUAAGCAAUUUUUCCACAUCUACUCAGCAGAUCCUAAGAAUUACUUCAGCAGCCCGAACUACUGUUAUCAGAAGCUAGUGGCAACCAAAGUUCUCCCCAUUCUAAUACCUAAACCUCUUAACCAAAUUUUCCACGUAUAUCCCGAGAUUUCAGCUAUCAUCCCAGCCACAAACAGCCACUGAUGCCUAUCUGGCUUUAACCUAGCAGAAAUUCAUGAAGCGUAUUUACAGUAUUUACGCUGCAACCAAAACCCACCUGGUUCUAAUUCCUAAACCAACCUACUCGAGCUCCUCGAAUCUACCAAAACAGCCCGAAUAACCAUCUUAACACCUCCUAAUGGCUGGUCAGUUUUAACUCAUUCGCAUUAGCGUGCCGUGACACGUUCCACUUUUCUGGGCGUAUAUACGCCGGCCGGCCGCGCGUCACAGAACGAGCGAGAUCGAGGCGAGCAAGGCUGACGACGAUUGAAAAAAGAAAGGAUGAAAGAAGGGAAAAAAGCGCGAGUCUCAGGGGUCGGGAGUUAAGUGGUCGAAACAGAGCCACGGAGGGGCGGCUGCAGAGAUUCCCUGAUACGCACCUGGCCACGCGCAUUUCAGGGCAUCGGUGACGUCAAACCAGGGGGCUAGAGGUUGUUGAUUACGUCACUGGCCCCAGCCAGCCUCCAACACCACGGCAUCGAUCAGUUCGACCAAUGGUGGGGAUAGAAGCUACGCUUGUGACAGUGGUGGGGGGUAGCGAGUCGAGGAAAUAUCAGUAAUAGCCAGCUCCCGCGGUCUAUUAAUUAAAUUUUUGAUUAGUCGACGAUAUUUCAGCAUUCUCCCCACUCCUCUACUCUUCUCUCCUUCUCUUUGCGUUUCAUCGUCUCGCUUCCUCUCACGAUCUCCCGAGAGAUGUGACGCGGGUUGCAGUUGCCAGGCGAAACUAGAUUUUUCGGUAACGGGCAAUUAUCUUGCCUUAAGUCAAACAAUGGGGAUGCGAUAUUGAUAUUCGAGAGUGUGAAUUUUGUUGGAAAGAGUACGAUUGUGUUUUAGGAAAUUAUUUUUAACCAGAGAGUCUGGCAAAUGUGCGUUCAAAAGUUAAUUCGUAUCUUAGCACGAUAUUAUGCAAGUAUUUUUUAAUUAAUUUAUACCUUCGUGCGGUAUAUUGGUAAAAAAAUGAAAUAAAUAUAAUUCGUAAUUUAGAUCGAUAAUAUAAUAUUGUUUAUAUCGCGGUACGAUAUAUCUGCAAAAUCUCCAAAAUAUUCGGAAUGGAAUUUUCUUUUCGAGAAAAUCGCGGAGUCUCAGGAGAUUUUUAAAACGUACAAAUAACAUCGAAACGCGCAUUUUUUUCGCAAAUGGAAAUGUCGAUCGAGAGUUUACUCGCGAGUGGUUGAAUCCAAGCAAACAAGAAAGGAGAGUGGAGGGGAGUAAAAAUUGAACAGAACUGUUCGAAUCGACUCGAGUGGACCAGGAGAUGCGAGACUCUUCCGCCAACAACGUUCCUUUUAUCAUCGACUUUUCUUCCUCCUAUUUCGGUCUCCCAUUACAGUUUUCGUUCGUAAAAUUCGCGCGAGGCUCGGCUCAACUUUUGACAGGUCCCUCGCCGAUACGAUUGUUCGUCAGCCUUGCAAAUCAUCCCAAACUUUGUAUUAUUAUUAUUUUUGUAUCGUAAAAUUUCACAUUCGCGAAUUGUUGCUAACGAUGCGACGUUCAUACUUUCCGAACAUAAUGUUUUCCCAUUGUCGUGAAUUUUCGAAAUCGCUAGAAUUGUGUGAAUUUUGAACACUUCAAUAUUCAGGCUUUUUCCAUUAAUUCAACUAACCGUAUUAAUAAAGUUUAAUAAGUUAGAAAUUACAACGUAACAAUGCUAGCAGUUUAUUCUGUAUUUUUCAAAGCGUUAGAAAAUUCAUUUUUCUAAGUAAAUUUACGAUUUUAUAAAUCAUAAGUCAGCUCAUUUUACGUCUUUUUAACCUUCCAGCGUCGCCGAUUAAAAAUAAUUUUCUAUAUUUAUAAAGAAGUUUGGAGAAUCAUCCGAGUGUCUGACUUAUAUCGACUUAUUCUACUGUCGUUCUCCUUAGCCAGGGAUACUUGAUUUAAUCAGGAACAAUUCCACCGUUUCUAUCGAAUCAAACGAGACAUUUCUAUGUGUGGAAUGGAAUGGUGUUAAAUUUUUGAUGAGAGGAAUCGCGUUUAAUGUAUACAGCAUAAAUUGAAAUAGCAUAAAAAAGUACUUGAGUAAUGCAAGUAAUAUUUUAGCACCCUUUAGCGUGUUUAUGGCAAUGACAUUUAAUGUUUCAAAGAUCGUGUCGUUUAUCAUCUUGUUUGCCAUAUAUCUGAGGAAACGAUUGCGAAUAAAAUUGCAGUCGAUAAAGUGCAUAUUCAACGCUGCUUUUCUCUUCGCGUGUUAGAUGGACGAAAAAAAAACUCUGCUGAAAUUACUCGGAUCAUUUUUCUUCAUUUUCAUUGCCAACAAAAAACCAACAACGACACAUUCACAAAUGCAAAGGUGAUUUUCCAUUGAAUAUCGAGCCACGUAUUACAAAAAGUGGACAAAAUUUCUAUUCGAUAAGAAUAAACUUCCUUCUUUUC